rnacentral:lncRNA from 1 species
AACAAAUCUUUUAAAAAUAAUAUAUAAAAAAAUUUAAUUUUAAAUAUAGCAAAUUACAAGUGUAUAUUUUUAAAAAGUUCAACUUUCUUAUAUUAUAUCUAUAAAAAUUUUAAUAUUUUCAAAUAUACUCCAACUGUUGGUAUUUGAUAGAAAAUUUUAAUUAAGUAUAGAUAAAAUACUUAACCCUAUAGUCAAUUAGGUAACUUAAUUUUUUUAUCCUUCUUAUAUUAUAUUUUUUUUAAUCAAAAUUCUAGCAAUGAAAAUUCUUCUUCUUCUUCCUCUCUCUCCUUUAUACUAGUUUCGAAUCUGUAACUAGAAUUUUUCCAUCCCCAUUCAUCCAUGACGUAUGUUAUUUUGUGCAUAUUGAACACACGUUGUUUCUUCAUUCAAUUUUUUCUAUAAUUUUUUUUUAUUUCACUCAAAAAAAAAUUUAAAAAAAAAAGAUUUGGGAAGAGCAUGACCAUUAAAAAUUUUUUAGGGAGACAUUUCUGCACGAUUAUAGCAGUUGGGAUUUUUAGAGGGACAUAUUUGUGAUAGUAAAAUUGGCAUUUCACUUAUCUACUAUUAAAAAAUACACUGUUUCUCUAACGGUAACAAACCAGAAGGACAAAUAUGAAUAUUAUUGGACUUUUAUAGAAAUAAUAUAAGAAAGUUGAAUUUUACAAAGAUAUGUCUAAUUUGUUAUGUUUACAGAAAGCUAUAUGCAAUUAAUCCUAUUUUAAAAAAAAGAAACAAAAGGACAAAUUGGAGCCUUCAAGGGAAAAAGUUAAAGAAGAGAAUCGAGAAGACAUCAAAUGUUUUCAAUGUGGCAACAACAAUUUGACUCCUCUUGUGUUUUAUUUUAUUUUAUUAUUUAUUUAUGUAUUUAUUUUAGCUUUUGAAAAUUGGAAGAGGGAGUUUCUAUGGGCUCCAUUGUAACGGCUAUAAGAAAGUGUCACCUCGCAGGUUAAAAAUUCGAGCAGACGACCGACCGUCCCUAGAGCAAGUGGCAAAGAACUAGAUGGUUGGUAUCCGAGACCUAAGUUCGAAUUCUAGUUGAUUUACAUUUCUAGCUAAGUUUAUUUUUAAAUAAAAUAAACGAAGCGGAUACCGUGCUACCUAUCUCUCUCAAAAAAAAAAAAAAAAAAUCUAGCAAACGCAUACACAUUUCUCACUCUCGGACAAAAGAAUCUUAUUAGGAUUUGUUUGAUCCUCUGUACUACAGUUGUAAUUAUAUAUGGAGUCAAAUUUGGUAUUUAUUUUUAUGCAUUUAAAUUCGACUGCACAAAUAGUCUUAACUGUAACAAUUAAAAUGACAUCUAAAUUAAUCAUAAUCUUAAUUGCAGCACUUGAAAAGAGUAAUUUUAAACCAAAAAAAAAAUCUCUCUCUAAAUAAUUUUUUAAGAAAAAAUUUUGUUUCCUAUAUAAAAGAAAGAAUAAAAAUUCGUAAAUACAACCAAACAAAAUAUUUAUCAUUACAGUACUUGUUAUUACAGCUAAUCAAAUAAAAUACAUAUAAUUAUAAUUAUUAUAUUUUUAUUUAGAACCAAAUAUUCCCUUAUU